CCUACGGGAGGCAGCAGUGAGGAAUAUUGGGCAAUGGACGAGAGGCUGAAGCAGCCAAGUAGCGUGAAGGAUGACUGCCCUAGGGGUUGUAAACUUCUUUUAUAUGGGAAUAAAAUGUUCCACGUGUGGGAUUUUGUAUGUACCAUAUGAAUAAGGAUAGGCUAACUCCGUGCCAGCAGCCGCGGUAAGACGGAGGAUACGAGCGUUAUCCGGAUUUAUUGGGUUUAACGGGAGCGGAGGUGGGUUGUUAAGUCAGUUGUGAAAGUUUGCGGCUCAACCGUAAAAUUGCAGUUGAAACUGGCAGUCUUGAGUACAGUAGAGGUGGGUGGAAUUCGUGGUGUAGCGGUGAAAUGCUUAGAUAUCACGAGGAACUCCGAUGGCGAAGGCAGUUCACUGGACUGCAACUGACGCUGAGGCUCGAAAGUGUGGGGAUCAAACAGGAUUAGAUACCCCAGUAGUC
rnacentral:rRNA from 1 species